AGCAUGGCCUAUCUUUCGGGAUGGGCCGAUGGCGACCGGCGCACGGGUGAGUAACGCGUAUCCAACCUUCCCUUUACUGGGGUCCAGCCCGUCGAAAGGCGGAUUAAUCCCCCAUGUUCUCCGUCCCGGACAUCUGUGUCGGAGCAAAGAUUUAUCGGUAAAGGAUGGGGAUGCGUCCGAUUAGCUUGUUGGCGGGGUAACGGCCCACCAAGGCAUCGAUCGGUAGGGGUUCUGAGAGGAAGGUCCCCCACACUGGAACUGAGACACGGUCCAGACUCCUACGGGAGGCAGCAGUGAGGAAUAUUGGUCAAUGGCCGUAAGGCUGAACCAGCCAAGUAGCGUGAGGGAAGACUGCCCUAUGGGUUGUAAACCUCUUUUAUGCGGGGAUAAAGGUGUCCACGUGUGGAUGUUUGCAGGUACCGCAUGAAUAAGGACCGGCUAAUUCCGUGCCAGCAGCCGCGGUAAUACGGAAGGUCCGGGCGUUAUCCGGAUUUAUUGGGUUUAAAGGGUGCGUAGGCGGGCAUUUAAGCCGGCGGUCAAAUGUCGGGGCUCAACCCCGGCCUGCCGUCGGAACUGGGUGCCUUGAGUGGGCGAGAAGUAUGCGGAAUGCGUGGUGUAGCGGUGAAAUGCAUAGAUAUCACGCAGAACUCCGAUUGCGAAGGCAGCGUACCGGCGCCCAACUGACGCUGAAGCACGAAGGCGUGGGUAUCGAACAGGAUUAGAUACCCUGGUAGUCCACGCAGUAAACGAUGAAUGCUAGUUGUCCGGGGCGAUUGAGUUCUGGGUGACACAGCGAAAGCGUUAAGCAUUCCACCUGGGGAGUACGCCGGCAACGGUGAAACUCAAAGGAAUUGACGGGGG
rnacentral:rRNA from 1 species